rfam:Gossypium raimondii Chr08_contig_1301, whole genome shotgun sequence.
UGUUAAAAAUUUAAUCCAUUUGUAUCGUUAAAAAUUGAUGUUGUUGACGAAAUAACUAAAUAGUUCCAUGUGGCAUGCCAUGUGUACUUUAUGCUGAUAUACAGAGACUAGCUUUUAACAGCAAAAGUAUAUGGAAUUUUUAAUU